rnacentral:rRNA from 1 species
AGUGAACGCUGGCGGUAGGCCUAACACAUGCAAGUCGAACGGCAGCACAGUAAGAGCUUGCUCUUACGGGUGGCGAAUGGCGGACGGGUGAGGAAUACAUCGGAAUCUACUUUUUCGUGGGGGAUAACGUAGGGAAACUUACGCUAAUACCGCAUACGACCUACGGGUGAAAGCAGGGGAUCUUCGGACCUUGCGCGAUUGAAUGAGCCGAUGUCGGAUUAGCUAGUUGGCGGGGUAAGGGCCCACCAAGGCGACGAUCCGUAGCUGGUCUGAGAGGAUGAUCAGCCACACUGGAACUGAGACACGGUCCAGACUCCUACGGGAGGCAGCAGUGGGGAAUAUUGGACAAUGGGCGCAAGCCUGAUCCAGCCAUACCGCGUGGGUGAAGAAGGCCUUCGGGUUGUAAAGCCCUUUUGUUGGGAAAGAAAAGCAGCAGGUUAAUACCCCGCUGUUCUGACGGUACCCAAAGAAUAAGCACCGGCUAACUUCGUG